GAGUGAACUGGGUGUCAUCUCAAAAAGUUGGAAUGAUACAGAGAAGAUUAGCAUGGCCCCUGAACAAGGAUGACAUGCAAAUUCAUGAAGCAUUACAUAUUUUU